rnacentral:rRNA from 1 species
UACAGGGGGGGCAAGCGUUGUUCGGAAUUACUGGGCGUAAAGGGUCUGUAGGUGGCCAACUAAGUCAGACGUGAAAUCCCUCAGCUUAACUGGGGAACUGCGUCUGAUACUGGAUGGCUUGAGUGUGGGAGAGGAAUGCGGAAUUCCAGGUGUAGCGGUGAAAUUCGUAGAUAUUGGGAAGAACACCGGUGGCGAAGGCGGCAACCUGGUCCUUGACUGACGCUGAGGCGCGAAAGCGUGGGGAGCAAACAGG